rnacentral:rRNA from 1 species
GACGAACGCUGGCGGCGUGCUUAACACAUGCAAGUCGAGCGGUAAGGCUCUUUCGGGGGUACACGAGCGGCGAACGGGUGAGUAACACGUGGGUGACCUGCCCUUAGCUCUGGGAUAAGCCUGGGAAACUGGGUCUAAUACCGGAUAUGACUCCAUGACGCAUGUUGUGGGGUGGAAAGCCUUGUGCGGCUAGGGGAUGGGCCCGCGGCCUAUCAGCUUGUUGGUGGGGUGAUGGCCUACCAAGGCGACGACGGGUAGCCGGCCUGAGAGGGCGACCGGCCACACUGGGACUGAGGCACGGCCCAGACUCCUACGGGAGGCAGCAGUGGGGAAUCUUGCGCAAUGGGCGAAAGCCUGACGCAGCGACGCCGCGUGGGGAUGACGGCCU